rnacentral:rRNA from 1 species
UACGGAGGAUGCAAGCGUUAUCCGGAAUGAUUGGGCGUAAAGCGUCCGUAGGUGGCACUUCAAGUCUGCUGUUAAAUACUAGGGCUUAACCCUGGAGCUGCAGUGGAAACUGAAGAGCUAGAGUUCGGGAGGGGUAGAGGGAAUUCCCGGUGUAGCGGUGAAAUGCGUAGAGAUUGGGAAGAACACCGAUGGCGAAAGCGCUCUGCUAGGCCGAAACUGACACUCAUGGACGAAAGCUAGGGGAGCGAAUGGG